GACGAACGCUGGCGGCGUGCUUAACACAUGCAAGUGGAGCGACGAACCAGGGCUUGCCCUGGGGCAGAGCCGCGAACGGGUGAGUAACACGUGGGUAACGUGCCCCGAUGACUGGGACAACCCGGGGAAACCCGGGCUAAUACCGGAUGUGCCCCCUCACAUCAGUGAGGUGUGUAAAGGAAGCUUCGGCCUCCGCAUCGGGAUCGGCCCGCGGCCCAUUAGCUUGUUGGUGAGGUAACGGCUCACCAAGGCUGCGAUGGGUAGCUGGUCUGAGAGGACGAUCAGCCACACUGGGACUGAGACACGGCCCAGACUCCUACGGGAGGCAGCAGUGGGGAAUCUUGCGCAAUGCGCGAAAGCGUGACGCAGCAACGCCGCGUGGGGGAAGACGGCCUUCGGGUUGUAAACCCCUUUCAGUUGGGACGAAGGUCGGGCGGUUAACAGCCGUUCCGGCUGACGGUACCUUCACAAGAAGCCCCGGCUAACUACG
rnacentral:rRNA from 1 species